rnacentral:rRNA from 1 species
UACGUAGGGUGCAAGCGUUAAUCGGAAUUACUGGGCGUAAAGCGUGCGCAGGCGGUUUUGUAAGUCUGACGUGAAAUCCCCGGGCUCAACCUGGGAAUUGCGUUGGAGACUGCAAGGCUAGAAUCUGGCAGAGGGGGGUAGAAUUCCACGUGUAGCAGUGAAAUGCGUAGAGAUGUGGAGGAACACAGAUGGCGAAGGCAGCCCCCUGGGUCAAGAUUGACGCUCAUGCACGAAAGCGUGGGGAGCAAACAGG